GCACCUUCGGUGUCCGAGUUGUAAUCUCUAGAAAUGUUUUCCGCGUUGGACCGCACACAAGUCUGUUGGAAUACAGCGGCAUAGUGGUGAGACCCCCGUAUAUGGUGCGGACGCCCAGCGCUUUGUGAUACAUUUUCGAAGAGUCGAGUUGUUUGGGAAUGCAGCUCAAAUUGGGUGGUAAAUUCCAUCUAAAGCUAAAUAUUGGCGAGAGACCGAUAGCGAACAAGUACCGUGAGGGAAAGAUGAAAAGCACUUUGGAAAGAGAGUUAACAGUACGUGAAAUUGUUGGAAGGGAAACGCUUGAAGUCAGACUUGCUUGCCGAGCAAUCGGUUUGCAGGCCAGCAUCAGUUUUCCGGGAUGGAUAAUGGUAAAGAGAAGGUAGCAGUUUCGGCUGUGUUAUAGCUCUCUACUGGAUACAUCCUGGGGGACUGAGGAACGCAGUGUGCCUUUGGCGGGGGUUUCGACCUCUUCACACUUAGGAUGCUGGUGGAAUGGCUUUAAACGACC
rnacentral:rRNA from 1 species